GUUCCUAUGGUCUAGUGGUUAUGACGCUUCGUUGUGGUCAAAUUAAGCUGCAAUCCGAAGCAGCCCGUGUUCGAUUCACGGUGGGGACA